GAUGAACGCUGGCGGCGUGCCUAAUACAUGCAAGUCGAGCGAACAGACGAGGAGCUUGCUCCUCUGACGUUAGCGGCGGACGGGUGAGUAACACGUGGAUAACCUACCUAUAAGACUGGGAUAACUUCGGGAAACCGGAGCUAAUACCGGAUAAUAUAUUGAACCGCAUGGUUCAAUAGUGAAAGACGGUUUUGCUGUCACUUAUAGAUGGAUCCGCGCCGCAUUAGCUAGUUGGUAAGGUAACGGCUUACCAAGGCAACGAUGCGUAGCCGACCUGAGAGGGUGAUGGGCCACCCGGAAACGGGAAAACGGUCCGAACCCCAAGGGGGGGCAGAGGUGGGAAUUCUUCCGAAAGGGGGGAAACCCUGAGGAGGAAACGCGCGGGGGGUAAGAAGGUCUUUCGAUUCGAAAACCUUGUUUUUAGGGAAAAAAAAAAGUUUAAGGUAACAUUCCCGGUUUGAAGGGAACCAAACAAAAAGCCACGGGUAAACACGUG
rnacentral:rRNA from 1 species